CAGUCGCCGCGGUAAUACGCAGGGUGCGAGCGUUGUCCGGAAUUAUUGGGCGUAAAGAGCUCGUAGGCGGCUUGUCGCGUCGGAUGUGAAAGCCCGGGGCUUAACUCCGGGUCUGCAUUCGAUACGGGCAGGCUGGAGUGUGGUAGGGGAGAUCGGAAUUCCUGGUGUAGCGGUGAAAUGCGUAGAUAUGCGUAGGAACAUCAGUGGCGAAGGCGGCCAUCUGGGACAACACUGACGCUGAAGCACGAAAGCGUGGGGAGCAAACAGGAUUAGAUACCCCCGUAGUCCUGUCUCUUAUACA
rnacentral:rRNA from 1 species